AAAUAAAUGGGAUUUUUUAAGAGAAAAUCGAAAAAGAAAAUGAUUUUUUGUCUACUUUAGUCACGUGAUCGUA